GCAAGUCGAGCGGAAACGAGUUAUCUGAACCUUCGGGGGACGAUAACGACGUCUAGCGGCGGACGGGUGAGUAAUGCCUAGGAAAUUGCCCUGAUGUGGGGGAUAACCAUUGGAAACGAUGGCUAAUACCGCAUGAUGCCUACGGGCCAAAGAGGGGGACCUUCGGGCCUCUCGCGUCAGGAUAUGCCUAGGUGGGAUUAGCUAGUUGGUGAGGUAAGGGCUCACCAAGGCGACGAUCCCUAGCUGGUCUGAGAGGAUGAUC
rnacentral:rRNA from 1 species